AGCUUCCCGGCUUCCUGUGGCCACGCUGGGCCUUCACCUCGCGCCCGACGACCUCUGUGACAUCCCAGGGAACCAGGUCGCCCGUCGACCUCCUCCGGGACAUGGCGGAGGCUGGGCCCGGCAGCCUCCCAACAAACCCGGGCAUGGACCGUGAAGUAAACAGUUUUAAGUGUUAGAGCCCGGCAAUGGAGGAUGACAGCGAUUCGACGGAUGGUUUCGAACCUCUCUUCAUCCAGGAAGAGAUCGAGGAUCCCGAGACCAGCUGGUCCAGUCCGGCUUUUACAAGGACGCACUUGAGUCAGCCGUCCGUAAUGGGGCCGUACUUGCAGGAAAUGGACGACUUACUAAAGAGCUGCGAGGAGCUCACCGUGAUCCCGCUCGAGCGUAAGCAACAAGGGAUCCCUGGUGAAAAAGAAACAUCACCGUAUUUUUCCACGAGCUGUACCGGGAACACGAUGGAAACAACGGAAAAGUGUGUUCCACACCAGCCCCAAGAUGACAUGCCCGUCACUUUGGCGGGGAACAAACUGCGCGACACCAUGGUGCAGUACGAGGGUCAAUUGAUGGAUAUGUUGGCCAUGCUGGAGAGCAGCAUGGAAGAGGCCGGCAUCGAUUUCGAGGUGAGCCAAGAUUAUGUGCAUGUAAAUAAAGGCAAGGACCAGCUGUCAGAAAGCCAGAGCGUUGGUCAACAGGAGUGUAAAACCACUACAGACGUUUGCGAUGACGAUUCCUCAAUGGGCAGGUCUGGAUCAGACCUUCACGUCCAACAAUUGAAGUAUUCCGGGGUGCAUGGUGUCAACGGCGCUGAAUUUCAGACAGAAUCCUUGGAGAGAGAUACCAAUGUUAUGAGUUUUGGAGUGGACGGAUUUGAGGAACUGAAGUCGCAGAUGGAGGAGUGCAUCGAGGAGCUACAGCGCUUAGAGAGGAGGAGGAAGGAUUUACUGGCUGAGGUACUGGAGCUGAGGAAGCAGGAAGCCCAAGAAGAAGAAGACGCAGAGGCUCAUGUUUCAAGCAAAGUCAUCGAGUUGAUGGCGGUGCUAAAAAAGGAGGAGGAGGACUGGAGGGACGAGAGGAAGAGGGAGGUUCAGAGGCUCAGGUCGGAGCGGGCCGAAGGGGAACGGCAAGUGUGGGAGUCGGAAAUGGCGAGGCAGGAGUUGCAGGACGAGAUGCGCAAACUGAAGAGGCAACUGUUCGCCACGGCCAGGGAGAACGUACACACCCAGGCGGCCCUCAACAAGAGACGCCAUGAAAUGGAGCUUCAGAAGAGAGAGGAGGAGCACCUUCAGACCUUGCUUCUCCAAAUGACCGAGGAGAACUCCCAGCUCAGGUCAGCCCACUGGCAGCAUCUCCAAGACCUCCAAGAGAAGCUUUGCACUCGCAGCACCAGCCACACCUGCAACGCGAUGCAGGACGACGUGCCUCAGAGGAACUCUUGCGGCGAUGUCCAGCAAUACCUGCAGGGCAGCCUGAAAGCCCUCGAGGACAGGUAUGAGCCCAUUUUGCUGGCCCUGCAGAAGAGAAAAGAGACAACAACGGGGGCUUUGGUGAAAGCCAAAGACCAGACCCGGGAGCUCAAGGCCCAGCUGGGACCCUUGCGGGAAGAAAUGCAUACGCAGGUGCUGCAGAAGUCCCGCUUGGAGGAGAAACUUAAACUCGUUCAACAACAGAAGAGGGAAGAUACCGGACACUACGAGGUGAGGAGAGCAUCCGUUGUCUUGAGCGAAGCAGUCGAGAGCUAAAAAUGGAGUUGACAAUGCAGAAAAGAAAAAACAAAGAGGCAGAGGAGGUGACAGACUGUCUUUCCAAGCAAAUCCUCCUUUACAGGUCUGCUCCUGGGGACCACCAGAGGUCUGAACACCGAGAGGAAAAAUGAUUUACACGGCUCUAGAAGAGUCUUAUUUGAUAUGUAGAAGAAAAUAGAAAGCACUUUUCACAGGUUUUUGCAUUGUUAAUAAAGGUAGUUUGGAUAUUUUUUUUUUGUAUACAAACACACACAGUUGUAUCGUUGUUGUAGUUUGCAAGCGGUGCCCUGAAGGGGCUGACAAUCCUCUUUGCCAUCAAUCAGCUGGACUGGACUAAUUCCCGUUUUAGUUUAUAAAAUGUUUUUUUUUUUUUCACAGCACACACAUCAGCCAUGAAUUUUGCAAUUUAAAAAAGUUUCCAAGUGUCUUAAUAGCUUGACUGGCGAGUUGAAUUCUUUCUAUGACCAAGUGUGUGAUUGAUUCAGUUUUAUUCAUCAAAUUAAUUUCCCCAAUUGCAAUUAAUUGAAAUGCCAUGUGUUCAAGAACCCCCCCCCAAAAAAAAAAACAAAAAAAAACAAAAAAAAACAACACUUUUUUUUUUUAUUACAAGAAAAAUCUCCCUCUCCAUUAAUUAUAAUGUAAAGGUAUUACACCCAUAUUACAGUACUCGCUUUCUCGGGAUCCCUGGUUCUAGCCCCAGACCGAGUUUUGCGACUAUGGAGUCAUCUUGAGUGCACGCUGUCGCCGGGGUCCGUGUGAACUCCAGAGUGUGGGGUCAUUGGGUUUAUACACUAAAUGGUGUGUCCUCUAUAUGGCGCACAGACACAUGAGCCCAACAGUCCGGUCAAGUUGCUCACACAUUUUGUAGAACAAGGAAGCUAACUAAUUUGGGUGGCCAAGCGCUGCAGAGACACAACUAUUUGUAGAAAUUCAAUAAAAAGCACGCAGAAGCACAUGCUUAAUCAAAGCUUGCAUUUCUUUUUAGUGUUGUAUCCUUCCCCAGCUCUACUUUCCACUCCUCCUUCUGAAGGUUUGCUUUAUAUCCUUGCUGACUGUUUCACAAAUGAGAUUCUAAACAUGUUUGAAUAUUGUGUGACACUAUCAGAUGUUGUGACAUGUUCAAGAAAAUGUUUGGGUUGGAAGGGAGGCCAGUGGAUAUUUUCCCUACUUUUAUUUUGUCAUAUUAUUGUUGUUAUCCAAUGUCUUCUGUCU